CGGGUUCCUGAAUGAUGAGAAGCCACACCUGUGGAGCUGCAUGAGGACAUGCACCCAAGUAGCCUCAACCACAUCUGGACCUGAGACAGAAGAACAAGAGAUCCCUUCCAACUGGGCGAUCACGAAAGCUUCAGGAAAAAGUGAUACUGAGCUGGGCCUGGAAGGAUGGAAAAGCUUCACACGUGGAGGUAUUAGGAGAGAUAAUUGGGUGAAGGAGGAGAAGAUUAGCUGCGGUGAGUUGAAUACUGGGAAUUUUAGGCCCUGUGGCAUUUGGUGGGGAAGAUAUUUUGAGCAGUAAGGAUUGUGAUACAUCUCAAAUUACACCAGGCAAGUAGUUGCUUACUAUUCUGUUUAUGGGAUCAGCCCUGCCAAGGUAAUACGACCUGCAAAUGUGGAUGGAAAGGACGAGAGAGAGAGAGAGAGAGAGAGAGAGAGAGAGAGAGAGAGAGAGAGAGAGACAGAGAGAAUGCUAACUAAAUCUUCUACAUAGCUGACUGCUCAGAAAACCCAACGCAUGGGACUGUGUUCUGAAGUAACUGCCUAAGACCUUUUAUCAACAAAUCGUUUUCAGACUUUGGUAUGAUUCUAUAAUAUUUCACAGCGCUGCAAACACGGGGCAUUUCGGGACACCCCUGAGGAAUGCAGCGGCAUUCUCAGCUUUCUCUUAGAUGGCUCUGCACUUCUUACAGCCUCCUUGUGACCACAGGAGUCUGGUGAUCAUGGAGCAGUAAGCCCAGCAAAGCCUAAGAGUGGGGCUCUGGAGGGACAGGUCUGCUGUUCUUUUCGGAGAUUGAUGGAUUUGUUACAAUUAGUAACAGGUGGUUUUCCUGAAAUUCUGCAAUUAGCUCUUGAAAUAGGGAAACCUCAGAUCACAUGGGUAGGAUAUUGCUAACGAGGUGAAAACUUACCUGGGUGAUUUAAACAGGUUCCUGCUGGUUUCCUAUAAGUGAAAGUUUAAAUGAUCCUCCUUUCUCAGGAAGACCAAAAUCAAUGUCUGAUUACAGCAGAAUUCAAUGCCAUCUGCCCGAUUCUUCCAGGCUCACAAAACCCACAGAAGGCAGGAGCUCAGGUGGAUGAACCAUGGUGAACUGAUUCAGAAUGCAACUUCUCAUCUGUUUUCCAUAGAGUGUUUCCAACAGUAUAAAUCAACAAUAAUCACAGUUGCUAUGUUAGUGUUGUGCAAUGCGCUAUAGCCGAUAAAUCACUUUCACCAGCAUGUCCUAUCUAAUCUUCAUAAAAACUCAAUGAGGUGAAUACUGCUCUCCUACUUUUACAGAGGAGAAAACUGAGGCACAGGUAACUAAAGCAAGUUAUCUUAGAUCUCUUGAUGAGUGUGUAUUAGUGAUUAGGGUUUAUGUCUGGUCUUAGAAGUAGAAGUUCAUUUGUGCUCUUGAGCAAGGUCCAAAGAUGAAAGGCAGGAUUGGGAAAUUGUAGGCGAAAGGGUGAGUUGAGAGCUGCAUUGGGCAAACAUCUGAUUAUCUAGGGAAAGGCUGUACCCAGACAGGGACAAUCUUUUACCAGGUCUUCUCUUUGCUUGGGAAGGUAAUCAGUGGCAGAGACCCUCACAUCUGGGAGUAACCAAAGUUGUAUGUUCAAAUCCUUUAUUUUUUCAAAUGAGGAAGUGGAGGUUCAGUGAAGUUAGGUGGCUUGUAAAGACCCACACAACUAAUGUGAUGAAAAUGAGAUCGUUACCCAGUUUUCUACGCUUACACUGGAAUUUCUGCCACUGCAUCUUGAUGCUCUUCCUGUUUUACUCUCUCUUCUUUCACUUAGAUAGUGGAAUAAAAGUAACAAUUGCUACUAUUCAUUGAACAAUGUGCUACAUUGUGUGCUAGAUACUUCUCAUGCAUAAUUUUUCAUCUUCACAAGAACUCUGCAGUCUCUCUCUCUCUCUCUCGAUAUAAUUUUGAGACUGAGUUUUGCUGGAGUGCAGUGGUGUGAUCUUGGCUCACUCUAACCUCUGCCUCCUGGGUUCAAGCAAUUGUCCUGCCUCAACCUCCCAAAUAACUGGGAUUACAGGCACCUGCCGCCAUGCCCAGAUAAUUUUUUUUUUUUUUGGUACUUUAAGUAGAGACAGUGUUUAAUCAUGUUGGCCAGACUGGUUUUGAACUCCUGACCUCAAGUGAUCUUCCGUCCUUGGUGUCUCAAAGGGCUUGGAUCACAGGUGUGAGCCAUCACACUUGGCCUUGCAAAGUCUCUAUUUUUAUCUCUGAGGAUAUGGGGACCAGUGAUGAGGAGGGACUUACCAACACAAUUUUGAGUCCAUGCUCUUUCUGUUGUGCACUGGGGCCUCUGCAAUAAUUUAUCUCUUAUCCUAGAAAACAGAAAUAUUUGAAUUUUUUAUGUGGUCAAAUAUCAUUUUUUUGGAACUCAUUAAAAUUUAAAUUGUCUGUGUUUAUUCCUACAAGUAUAUCUGAUUAAAA
rnacentral:lncRNA from 1 species